GAUAACUUCUAAUUCAUUGUCAGUAUGACUACAAAUUAUUGAAACAGUUGGGAUAACUCAGAAUUUUGUGUUUGUCUUCUCAACUAGUGAAAAGUUUUCAAACUAAGAAACAUGAUUCAAUUGAAAUUAAGAAUGUCAGUCAAAAGGAUGUACGGAUAAUCGCUUCUGUCAUUGGCUGCCUACAAAAACCUAAAAAACGUUUGCAGGCAAAAAACCAUUCUGCUGCCGCUCAUUUUCACCAUAUUGAAGUCGGUUCGGUAGUUUGGAUUACCCUGCUAGAAUCAGAGAUCUCUAAAAUAGAUCGUUUAUUUGAAAAUAAAAGAGAGAAAACUAUUUUUUAAAGCCUUUUCUGGAUAUCUCUGAUAUAGUGAAACUUCAGUGUAACUGCGUGUCGCGCGUGACCCCGCCACUCUAUCUCCAGCGCGAGGCCGAGCUGAUGGCCGAGCAGUGCACCGGGCAGAUGAGUUCAAUGUGACGGAGAAACCCACAGCCGUCGCACAGAGACACUCUCCUUUCUCCUCAGGAAGAAACUGGUGCCUGCUCCACAGUUUGUCAUCACGGUCCUGGUCUGAUAUGCUCCAUUUCGCCUCCUCUUGAUCAAUGAGAUGGAUAUGUACGUUUUACACGUACGUCACAAGAAAUCGUCGAAGAAUCCUUGAACACUACAGAUCCAGUCAUGGUCACUAUGGAAGAAGACUAGCUCUCCCCUGCAUUUACAGCGAUUGUGUGUGCUAUUUCCCAUCACAAAAGGCUCUCCAAACACAUGUGAGGCAACAUGGAUUUAGUAGCAGUGAACCGGUGAACUUCAGAAUUAGAUGCCAUUUAUGUGACUUUGAAGAACCUGCAGACGUUAAACUAUACUUUCGUCAUCUUGGCACACAUUUGAGAAAUAAGGAAACUGUAAUUUGCCCUUUUAAUAGUUGUGCUUUUAAAUCAAGCGUUAACUCCAGUUUUUCAUCACACAAAAGUCGAUAUCACAACUCUCUUUGUUAUCAGCAGCAACCUCACUAACUCACACAUACUUAUACUCUUACUGUUCGUUGAUUGUUAUUGAAGUGAGGUGUCCUCAUCGCUACAUCUACUUGACUGGCUAGUUGCUUUAAUUGUGUAUUCUGUCUCUUAACAGAAUUCCAACCAAAGAAAAGAGGAUGUCAUUCUGAGGGGCCUGCCGUAUUUCCUCCGUGAAGAUCCUUCAAAGUUCCUCAGGACUGCAGAGGUAAGCUUAGUUAUUGUUACUGAAUGAAUUGAUGAAACUGUUGCUGGCUGUAAAUGUUUUAAUGCCUGUGGAAAACUGUCCCCGUUUUAUUCACCCAAUCUUUUUGGUUACAAUAUAUGGCAUGCCGUUUAGGAAAUUUACUUUGAAUAUAUUGAAUGAAUGUUUGAAUAUAUUGAAUGAAAACGGACUCACUGGUGACAUCUUUCGUAUGGGCCUAUCUGCUUCUACCUGAAGUGUUAUUUCAACCAACAUCUCCUUCAAGAAUGAUGCAUAAUGUUCUUUCAGCAAUGUUUUUGUUGAACAUGAUUACUCAUAAGAGGGUCUCCUGGCUGGGGGCUUCGUAGCGGUGGUUGAGGCAGGUCAGUAGUCUGAUGGCGUGCGGGUAGAAGCUGUCUCUGAACCUGCUGGUCCUGGUUUGGAUGCUCCUAACCCACCUGCCUGACGGCAGGAGCGUGAACAGACUGCGGCUGGGAUGGCCUGAGCCAGAGAGGACGCGCCGUGCCCUCCCCCCGCAGCACUCGCUGUACAGGUCCCGAACGGCCGGCAGCCCACUCCCGACGACCCGUCCCCGAUCACUCUCUGCAGAGCUCCGUGCCCGAGGACAGCACAGCCGCCGCACCAGGCUGCGAAGCCCCCAGCCGGGACACCCUCUUAUGACCCACAGACAUGGAGGACAGCAUGACUAGGGGAAUGAAUGUCGGCAUUGUCGUAGUCAAACAAGGAGAGGAUCUUCUUGACAUAUCGGUGGUCCUAGAGGAACAGAUCAUUCUGCAUGGAAUCAAGGACUACUCACAUGCAGUCGUUAUGUUAAUGGGGCUGCUAUAUGCACUGAACAUUGACUACCCGAAGGAGCUGCAAUACACCUUCGAAGUCAUUCAGAAGGUUCUCAUGAACAUCGGCAGUGAGAACUGCUCCAGGGUUCAUGGACUGAGGAAUAGACUUUUUCGUAAAACUGUGUAGACACUACACUGAGACUGAGAGUUUUCUUUUGAGUUCUGUUACUACUAUUCUGUUACUACUAUCUGUUACUAGUUCAUUACUUUUGUAAUGGUCAAUGACAUUCUCAGUUGCAAGAGUUGACAGAAGUAGACUGGGUUUGAGGUCUUUCCUGGAAAGUCUUUUUGACCUGUUUGGUUCUGCAUCAUUUUAUUUUAUAUAAAUUAUACUCAUUACGUCUGUCAUGUUAUGACAGACGUAAUGAGUAGAGAACUAAUUUUUGUUAUUCUAAAUGUGUUAUUGUAAUAUUCUAAAUAGGCACACACACACACACGGCUCUCUCAUUUUUUUUGUAUACAUCCCAUAUCUGCUUCCUCUGGUCUCAUCUCCCAUAUUGCUAAUUAAUGUUUUAUUUUCUCUUUAAUAAAACAGUGACACACACACACACCUCUGUUUAAAUAUUUCUCUCCCGCCUGCCUCACUUCCCCUCACUUCAUCUUGUCAUUGCCUGUCAGUAGGGAUCCUUCUCUUGCUGGUACUCAAUGGACGUAAUGAGUACUCAUUUGUGUUAUUCUAAAGAGGAGAUGUUUUACCCAUAAGCUUGUGCUGUUUUUGGGGACGUUUUGUACUUGAUGGGAUGUGUUGCUGUGUUUACCUUGCCCAUCUGGUUUAUUAAAGCUUUGAAGAAAUGUUAAGCUUGCUGGUAGUUCUACCAGGAGGACUCAAAUCACUCGCGGCUGGCCGUCAAUCACCAAUCAGCAGCUACCAAUCACCUGCCUACACCUGCUCUAUAAAGAGUAGUCUAACAUAUGUCUUUGCUGCUCAGGUCUUCGUUCGACGCAUGCUGCUGCUUUACUGUGCUUCUGAUUAUCUCGCAUAUCUCGUCGCUUAGUUACGUCGGUUAAUACACACCAAGAGGUCAUAACUUUGGAUUCGUGCUGGUCGGCCUACUACUUCUGGUCCGGGCAAGUGAGCGCAGAAAGCCGUUAAUUUCGGUCCCCGGUAUCCUCAACAACACCACCAAGAAGUUCCCAACACGGACAUCCGCCUGGUUCUACAAACCCUCGCCGAGUUGGUGCAAAGCAUUUGGCGCCAGGAUGGACGCCGUCGAAACACCAUGCGGAACUCCCGGACGGGUCCAGGCCCCCAACCCGCUGUCGUCAGUCGCCACGGUCUUCGUUCGACGCACCUCCAUCCACCCCACCACCACCAGGUCGGCCUCAGUGUACUUGUCCAGGGGAAGGCUCCGCCCCUGCUAGUCCUGGCAGGAUACGCCGAGUCCGCACGUCACCCUGGAUCAGUGACGAGGCUCAUGCCAAAGAUUUACCAUGCAAAAUAUUCCCAUGUCGUUAUUUAAAUAAAUCCUGUUCAUACUUAUCGGUGAUCGAGUCUUUAUGGGAGAACUGGAAUUGAUUUGGUUUCUUUGGAACAACCAAUAACCUAUAGAG
ensembl:lncRNA